CCUACGGGGCUGCAGUGGGGGAUAUUGCACAAUGGGGGAAACCCUGAUGCAGCGACGCCGCGUGUGGGAAGACGGUCCUCUGGAUUGUAAACCACUGUCCCCAGGGACGAAGAUGACGGUACCUGGGGAGGAAGCACCGGCUAACUACGUGCCAGCAGCCGGGGUAAUACGUAGGGAGCAGGCGUUGUCCGGAAUUACUGGGUGUAAAGGGAGCUGAGGCGGGAUGGCAAGUUGGGUGUUAAAUCUACCGGCUCAACUGGUAGGCGCACUCAAAACUGCUAUUCUUGAGUGAAGUAGAGGCAGGCGGAAUUCCUAGUGUAGCGGUGAAAUGCGUAGAUAUUAGGAGGAACACCAGUGGCGAAGGCGGCCUGCUGGGCUUUUACUGACGCUGAGGCUCGAAAGUGUGGGGAGCAAACAGGAUUAGAUACCCGUGUAGUC
rnacentral:rRNA from 1 species